GAUACUCUACUUUCACUUUAUUACUUAUUGACCACGUAUACUUGCGUGUUGUGCGUAAUUAGAUUUUACCCAACACUUACCCUUGAUAACUUUUUUAUGGUUCCUCGACAAACGCUCUCACUUAAACUACCAGCUUUGACUUGUCUGGGACAUCCUUUGGCGUCACCAUCCCAGUUGGACUUGACUUGACUACACGACAAAAUCGAGCUAGGUGAACUUCUCUUCCGCAAUUGAAAUACGCUUUGGGUUGCUGCAUAUAGUUUGGAUGGAUGUGUUCCUCCUGUCCGCAUUUGAAACAUACGACCGGUGGUCAUUUUUCUUCCUUGGAAAUGGUUGCCGCUGUCUUUCCAUCAUUAUUUAACCUUUUCUUCUUGAAGUUGUUAUCACUUAGUUCACCCUUCCUAUUAUCUUGGCCAUGAUUACCACCGAAGCGGUUAUAAUUUCUGACAUAUUGAUUCCCUCCACAUUUAUUGUCACCGCUUCGAUGACUACUACCAUUGGUAUUAUCGAUUUGUCGGCUGCUCUCUCUUGGUUGGGUUGACACAUUAUCGCGCUACAAUAACUAAG
rnacentral:lncRNA from 1 species